GCGUGGCCUUGGGAGCAAGGGCACCCAGACUUGUGCAGCCGUAACAUCGGGUGAGGGCUCUCAGGGGAGGGAAACGUCAUCAAGACAGGGUUGCCUGACUUCCCGGGAGGAUGACACGCUGGUGGCAACUGUGUGGACUUGGCUUGUUGCUGUCCUUCCACCAGGCUGUCAGAGGGAGCCCAGGAUGGAGCUGGAGACAAGGCCACAGUGAAGACAGGGGCAGAGGGGAAGAGCUGAAUGCCCCCGGCACACGUCUUGGCUUCUGCCUUCCCGCUCCCCGUCCCAGAACAGGGCCCCUCGGUGCCUGAGGUUCCCAGAGGGCGGGCUACCCAAGAAGGCAGACUUGUCCCCUGCACAUCCCUAACACCUGUUACAGUCCCCGAGCUGCAUAACAGUUUCUAAAGGCUCUGAGUGAACACCCAGAUCAGCAAAUUGUAGACACACAUGGGUCAUUAACUCUCACAUCACUGCUCCUCUGCUGUGUUUUUUAACUUCUCAAGCUCUUCUUUUACAGGCUCCCACCUGCACGCCCACAGAACAAAGACUCCCGUUGCUGAGUUCCUCCCAGCAAUCUCCUGACAGCUCUAUCAGCGCUUGGUUCAGAAAACAAUUGCACACGGUUCCAGCCCCAUGGAAAUCCAAAGAAGUGACUUGGCAGCUUCGGGGCCUGGCUGGGCUGCUACACUCACACGGCUCCUUUGUCCCUGAUGAAUUAAUCCCUCAAUUAGCAAAAGGCACAGCUUUUCACUGGAUUUACAUCGAUUUCCUGAGGCUUGCGGAAGACAGGCAAAGCCAAAAGUAGUUUUGUUCCUGCCCGCUGUGAAAGGUGAGCUGCCUCUCCACUCCAUCCUCUCUCCGUGCCUGGCCAGCCUUGAACUGCAACUUGGCCUCCGCUUCUAGCAUGUUCCAUCAUGGGUGCAGAGGUGAGGAGGGAGCCCAUUCAUCUCAGAAAUCACGCUCUGAAGACAACCUCAGAACCAGGAACGGCGCCGCACAUCCUCCUUGUGGGAGGGGUGGUGAUCCACAGCACCAGGCACCCCUCGGCUGACGUUCUAGAGGGAACAGCACAGACGUGGCAGAAACACAAGUGCUGGCGCUGGAUGGCCGGCUAGUUCUCCGACUGCACCAGGUUCCUGGUAGCUUUGGGAUCCACAUGGAUCGAAGGCCUAUACUUCUGGGGAAGAAAAGUCCUUGUCAAGGUCCCCGCAGGUGCCUAAAGGUCAACCAGUGAGGAUCAGACCCGCCUCAACCUUUAACCCCCACGCCCUGAAUCUAUAAAAGGAGCCCUCCCAACCUCUGAUGCGUGACUUCCCCGGCCCCCGCUCUGUCGCUCUGUUGGGACCGGGGAACCUCGCCCGGGAGCGGAACCCCAAUAAAAGCCUGUGAAUUAAUUGAUUCUGCCUGGGA
rnacentral:lncRNA from 1 species